rnacentral:rRNA from 1 species
UACAGAGGUCCCAAGCGUUGUUCGGAUUCACUGGGCGUAAAGGGAGCGUAGGCGGGAGCCUAAGUUGGGUGUUUAAUUCCGGGGCCCAACCCCGGGCAUGCACUCAAAACUGGGUUUCUUGAAUAGGGGAGAGGUCGGUGGAAUUGGAGGUGUAGCGGUGGAAUGCGUAGAGAUCUCCAAGAACACCCGUUGCGAAGGCGGCCGACUGGACCCAUAUUGACGCUGAGGCUCGAAAGCAUGGGGAGCAAACAGG